rnacentral:rRNA from 1 species
UACGGAGGGGGCUAGCGUUGUUCGGAAUUACUGGGCGUAAAGCGCGCGUAGGCGGACCUGCAAGUCGGGGGUGAAAGCCCGAGGCUCAACCUCGGAACUGCCUUCGAUACUGCGGGUCUCGAGUCCGGGAGAGGUGAGUGGAAUUCCUAGUGUAGAGGUGAAAUUCGUAGAUAUUAGGAAGAACACCAGUGGCGAAGGCGGAUCUCUGGGCCAUUACUGACGCUGAGGAGCGAAAGCAUGGGGAGCGAACAGG